UACGUAGGGGGCGAGCGUUGUCCGGAUUUAUUGGGCGUAAAGAGCGUGUAGGCGGUUCGGUAAGUCUGUCGUGAAAUCCUGAGGCUCAACCUCGGGCGUGCGAUGGAUACUGCCGGGCUAGAGGGUGGUAGAGGCGAGUGGAAUUCCCGGUGUAGCGGUGAAAUGCGCAGAUAUCGGGAGGAACACCAGUAGCGAAGGCGGUUCUCUGGGACGGUACUGACGCUGAGACGCGAAAGCGUGGGGAGCGAACAGG
rnacentral:rRNA from 1 species